rnacentral:rRNA from 1 species
GACGAACGCUGGCGGCGUGCCUAAUACAUGCAAGUCGAACGCAGUGGGGACGGGUGAGUAACACGUGGGUAACCUCCCAUCAGAGGGGAUAACACUUGGAAACAGGUGCUAAACCGAUACUGAUGGAUGAACCCGCGGUACAUUAGCUAGUUGGUGAGGUAACGGCUCACCAAGGCCACGAUGCAUAGCCACACUGGAAGGGGUUGCGGAAAAACUGGGAGUGAGAACUGGCCCUGACUCCGAGGGCGGGAGCCAGUAGGGAAUCUUGGGCACUGGACGAAAGGCGGACCGAGCAACGCCGCGGGAGGGAAGAAGGUUUUGGGAUCGUAAAACUCGGUGGUUAGAGAAGCGGUAUCUAACCAGAAAGCCACGGCUAACUACGUGCCAGCCGCCGCGGUAAUUC